AAGAUGCCGGUUCAGAAACAUGAAAGGCAAAUCAGGGAAGAAGGGGCGAGAUUGGAUCUUGGAGAAGAAGGAGAGGAGGAGGAGACAAGGACGGGAAGUUCGAGCCGACACUAAAUACACUGGACGUCAGAGAAGACCUCAUUUCUAGCUGUGACUCAUGCAGCUGGGCCCUCAUUAGCUCCCGUCUGUGCCUCCCCACACACACACUCACCUCUGGAGCCACAGAGUGUUUGGACUCAAAUAAUUUCUCAACUCUUAAAUUCAAGUGGAUGGGAGAGAGUGAAAUGCUAUCAUUUUUAUAUUUGGUCAAGUGUCUGGGAAAUUGUUUCUCACACACAUUGGUAAGACUGCUCUCUCUCCGUGUUCAUGCUGGAUGGAGAAUAUUAAGUACAUGAACAGACGUGUGCUGCCGGCUGGUGACGCAAGAACAACACAGUCACAGAAUUAAAACAAUGUUCAUAGAUUAUGAAAUGUCAUCCUCCAUUUCUGGUAAUCUGAUUGUUUUAUCUGUAAUUCUUUCUCAAUUAAAACUAAACAAUUAAAUAUU